rnacentral:rRNA from 1 species
GCAGAACGCGAAGAACCUUACCAAGGCUUGACAUGCAUCUCUAAGCGCGUGAAAGCGCGUGACUCUUCGGAGGAUUUGCACAGGUGCUGCAUGGCCGUCGUCAGCUCGUGUCGUGAGAUGUUGGAUUAAGUCCCGCAACGAGCGCAACCCCUGUGAUUAGUUGCCAGCACGUGAUGGUGGGGACUCUAAUCAGACUGCCCAGAUCAACUGGGAGGAAGGUGGGGACGACGUCAGGUCAGUAUGGCCCUUACGCCUUGGGCUGCACACGUACUACAAUGCCCAGCACAAUGAGAACCGAGACCGCGAGGUGGAGGAAAUCUACAAAACUGGGCCCAGUUCGGAUUGGAGGCUGCAACUCGCCUCCAUGAAGCCGGAAUCGCUAGUAAUGCUGCAUCAGCUACGGCAGCGUGAAUACGUUCCCGGGUCUUG